rnacentral:rRNA from 1 species
GACGAACGCUGGCGGCGUGCUUAACACAUGCAAGUCGAACGGAAAGGCCCCUUUUGUGGUACUCUAGUGGCGAACGGUUGCGUAACACGUGAGUAACCUUCCCUUUACUUCUGUUUAACUUCAUGAAACUGGGGCUAAUUCCGGUUAGGAAUCCUUGCUUCCUGGUGUGGGUUGGAAAGCUUCUGCGGUUUUGGAUGGACUCGCGGCCUAUCAGCUUGUUGGUGGGGUAGUGGCUUACCAAGGCUUUGACGGGUAGCCGGCCUGAGAGGGCGACAGGCCACAUUGGGACUGAGAGACGGCCGAGAGAGCGAAGGGAGGAAGAAGGGGGGAAGAUUGAACAAGGGGCGGAAGGCUGAUGAAGAAAGGCCGCGUGCGGGAUGACGGCCUUGGGGUUGAAAAAAGAAAUCAGCAGGGGAGAAGCUUGUGGUGACGGUACCUGAAGAAGAAGCACCGGCUAACUACGUG